AAUAAUCUACGGUCAGCAUUUAUUUUUAUUAUAGGGUGAAAUGAGAUAUCUGUGGGAGAUGUUUAUGGUAGGGUGCCAUUGGAUAUCGGUCUAUUUAUCGUAAUUGUGAGGGUGGUUCGUAAGUUUGUUCUUUUUAUUAGGAUGGUCCUUAACUCUUCCCCCUUUAGAACCGAUUGUCCUUCGAGAUUAAAAAUACGGAAUGUCGUUGAACUUCAAUGGGGUUCUACGACCCUUGCGUUCCACAGUUCUUAAAGGUAUGUCGUCGGAUCGGACUUGUUCCAUUAUUGGAUUAUUCACUAUUGUUUUGGUACUAUUUUUCCUACUUUUAUAGGCUAGGAUUAUAAUCAUUAUUCUGAUCCCGAUUACAAAUCCCCAGGUUGAGUAUUGGUGGACAACGGAUUUGAGAGACGAAACGUUUGCGCUCCUUCUCUUCAGGCAUUAACUGAAGUAUGGAAGGUAGUACCUUGUAGGAACGUUCCGUUAAGGAGUUGUUGUUCCGUUUCUACCUCGAAGGUGCCGGAAAAUCCGUUUAAUAAGAUUAUACCGGAAGAUAUUUCGUCUAUAACCGGAAAAUGCUGACUGUUUACAAUAUUGCAAGUACGUUUUUUACUAUUUAAUAAGUUUGGAAUACAAUUGGUGUUUGUUAUAUUAAUAAGGUCUUGCCUUUUACAAACAAUUAGAUUCUGAUAUGAUUUGCAUUUAUUAAGUAUCGUGAAUAUCUCGUCCUUUGAAUUUAUGCUGGUUUCUGAUUGAAGAUCGGUUGCCGUGUUAUCAUUUCUUUUUACGGCUUUUAGAAGAAUAGUUUCAUAAAUCUGUUCACUGGUUAUUGGAAUAUUGAUAAUAUAGAGGAUUGAGAUAG